rnacentral:rRNA from 1 species
AUUGGAUGAGCCCGCGGCCUAUCAGCUUGUUGGUGGGGUAACGGCCCACCAAGGCUUCGACGGGUAGUUGGCGUGAGAGCGUGGCCAACCACACUGGGACUGAGACACGGCCCAGACUCCUACGGGAGGCAGCAGUGGGGAAUAUUGCGCAAUGGGCGAAAGCCUGACGCAGCGACACCGCGUGCGGGAUGAAGGCCUUAGGGUCGUAAACCGCUUUCAGCAGGGACGAAGCGAAAGUGACGGUACCUGCAGAAGAAGGUCCGGCUAACUACGUGCCAGCAGCCGCGGCCGAAU